GACGAACGCUGGCGGCGUGCUUAACACAUGCAAGCCGAACGGUGAAGCGCCUACCAUUUUGGUGGCUGUGGAUGAGUGGCGAUCGGUUGAGUAUCACGAGACUAACCGGCCCCCUUCGACUGGACAACCGCAUGGAAAUGUGGCCAACACGAGACCUUCUGGAUCUGUCGCAUGAUGGUUCAGGGAAAGGUAUUCGUUCGUGGGGGGACGGGCGAGCGGCUUAUUAGCUUGUUGGUGGGGUGGUGGACUACCAAGGCGGUGGUGGGUAGCCGGCCUGAGCGGGUGGACGGUCACACUGGGGCUGAGGCACGGCCGAGACUCCUACGAGAGGCAGCAGUAGGGAAUAUUGCACAAUGGGCGUAAGACUGAUGCAGCGACGCCGCGUGAGGGAUGGAGGCGUUCGGGUUGUGAACCUCUUUCGCCAGUGAGGCAGGCCUGCCUCGUUUGUGGGUGGGUUGACGGUAGCUGGAGAAGAAGCGCCGGCUAACUACGUG
rnacentral:rRNA from 1 species